GACGAACGCUGGCGGCGUGCUUAACACAUGCAAGUCGAACGGUAAGGCCCUUCGGGGUACCCGAGUGGCGAACGGGUGAGUAACGCGUGAGUAACCUGCCCUUCACUCUGGGAUAACAGUUGGAAACGGCUGCUAAUACCGGAUAUUCAGCUCCUGUCCCAUGGUGGGGGUUGGAAAGUUUUGGUGGUGGAGGAUGGGCUCGCGUCCUAUCAGCUUGUUGGUGGGGUGAUGGCCUACCAAGGCGUCGACGGGUAGCCGGCCUGAGAGGGCGACCGGCCACAUUGGGACUGAGAUACGGCCCAGACUCCUACGGGAGGCAGCAGUGGGGAAUAUUGCACAAUGGGCGGAAGCCUGAUGCAGCAACGCCGCGUGCGGGAUGACGGCCUUCGGGUUGUAAACCGCUUUCAGCAGGGACGAAGCGCAAGUGACGGUACCUGCAGAAGAAGCACCGGCUAACUACGUG
rnacentral:rRNA from 1 species